CCCCACCCCUUCCAGGAGUCCCCACGCACCCAGGAGAUCGUCCUGAAAGCUGCCAUGGCCUGGUUUUCAGAAUAGACAAUCGCAACACUGGAGGUACUUCUCAUAAUGACUUUGCACACUUCGACAAAAGCAAGGACUUGUUCUCCCAUCUCGUUUGAAAAAGCAACUGUUGGCAGCUCUUCAAUAUAAUCAAAGCAGAUUCCAUUUUGAGAUAAGACGAGAAGCGCUUCCCUCAGAAAUCGUUCACCAAUCUCAUUUUCUUGAAAUAUUAUCCCAAUCCAUGUCCAAUUAAAGUGAAGCAGCAACUGGAGAAUCCCCAUAAUGUGAAGAUGUUCAUCGGGAUACAUCUGAUAGAAGAAAGCUGUAUGAAUCAUAUUAUCCAUCACUGGAGCAGAGCCAUAUGUGAGCUUAGGAGGGGAAAAAAUCAAAGUAUAAGAGACUUGAAAUUCUGACCUUGGACAAUCUGGAACUGCACCGCCUGUGGUCGGAUGUAAGCAUAGUACACAAAAUUGUCUGCUACAACGUCUUACCUGUCAACGUCUUACCUGUCAACAUCUUCUUCAGCUUCAACCACAAUAAUACAUGGGCAAACAAUUUAUACAAACUCAAGGUAAACCACUCCAAACUCGAUUGCAGAAAAUACAACUUCAGCAACAAAGUGGUCAAUGCCUGGAAUGCUCUACCUAACUCCAUUGUUACAGCCUCAAACCCUCACAGCUUCAACCUCAAACUGUCUACCGUGGAAUCACCCUAUUCCUAAAAGAAGAAGAUAAUUGAUCUCAUCUAGGAGAAAACAAUUUGCCAUUUCUAUGUAGCAACAAGAGAAGAAAUGGAUUGCAGUCAAAGGGAUAAUAUCUAAGGAAUUGCAGGGCCUCAACCCCUGGUCCGUGAACUUGCAUCAGGCCAUGGCGUGCCAGAAACCAAGCCAUGUCAACAAGCAAAGCCCCAUCUAUAGGAUGCAGGCAGCACAUGAAACCACACCCCCUCUGGUCCACAGGAAAAACUCUUUUGUCAGGGUAAUGAUGAUUUAAUAGCUGACCAGCUGCUGUAAUGCUGUAAUACUGUAAUGAUGAUGCAAUAGUAGGACUGAGUCAGCAGAGUUAUUUGACUGUUACCACUUUAAGAGUCUGUAUUGUAAGAGAGGCCCAGUUGGGGCAUCUCUCUCUCUCUCUCUCCAUGUGUUCUUCCCUGCUAUAGCUGCUGAUUGAUUGUUUGACCUUUGCCUAGUACAUGUAUGUAUCUUCUUUUGUAGAGAUAAACCACAAUUUAUCAUUACAAA